rnacentral:misc_RNA from 1 species
CACCACUCAAGCCUGGCUUGGUGUUGGGCGACGUCCCCUUUGGGGACGCGCCUCGAAACGCUCGGCGGCGCGGCACCGGCUUUAAGCGUAGCAGAAUCUUUCGCUUUGAAGGUCGGGGCCCCGUCUGCCGGAAGACCUACUCGCAA